rnacentral:rRNA from 1 species
UACGUAGGGGGCAAGCGUUGUCCGGAAUCACUGGGCUUAAAGCGUGUGUAGGCGGACUUCUAAGUACCUUGUGAAAUCCCACGGCUCAACCGUGGAACUGCUUGGUAUACUGGUCGUCUUGAGCCAUCUAGGGGCUGUCGGAACAAAUGGUGGAGCGGUGAAAUGCGUAGAUAUCAUUUGGAACGCCAAAGGUGAAAACAGACAGCUGGGGAUGUGCUGACGCUGAGACACGAAAGCCAGGGGAGCGAACGGG